GAGCAGGGGUGCCCAUUGGGCUGAGAUAAACCCUUAAGACCUGAUUUGGAUUGUGCCAACGUAGGGAGCUC
rnacentral:ncRNA from 1 species